rnacentral:rRNA from 1 species
AUGGAAGACUACUUCUCCGAGGUACCUACAUACCCUCCUCGUCUCUUUCGCAGAAUGUACCGAAUGCGACGUAGUUUGUUUGUGAAGAUUGUCACCGAUUGUGAGGCCGCCUCAUAUUACUUUAAACGUCGUAGAUCCGCCGCCGGUAUCAUGGGGUUUAGUGCAUAUCAAAAGAUAUCGGCGGCAGUGCGGGUACUCGCUUAUGGCAUACCCGCGGAUUAUACCGACGAGUAUCUUCGCAUUGGGCAAGAUACAACCACGGAGUCAGUCCGUAGGUUUCCAGUAUCUUCAGGCACCAAACGAGGAAGAUACAAAAAGAUUAAUGGAAAUGAAUGA